AAUCAACGGUUCUUCCUCCUUUUGCUCUACAACAUUUCCGAGUAAAGUUUCUUCAGGGGUUUAAUUGCACUUUGAAAGAAUUGGUGCAGAAGAGCUUCUGAUUUAGCGUUCACAGAUUUUAGUUAUAAAGAAGAGUGCCAAUUGAAUUCCUCCAACAUUUGGUCAACUAUUUGAAGAUUGUCUUCACCAAAUUACGGCAGCUUAUUGAAUUUUGUGGAACAGAGAACAGAAAUGCCGGUAAAAAAAACUUCAUGCU